rnacentral:rRNA from 1 species
ACGCUGGCGGCAGGCUUAACACAUGCAAGUCGAACGGUAACAGGGAUUAGCUUGCUAAUCUGCUGACGAGUGGCGGACGGGUGAGUAAUGCUUGGGAAUCUGGCUUAUGGAGGGGGAUAACUACGGGAAACUGUAGCUAAUACCGCGUAAAAUCUUCGGAUUAAAGGGUGGGACUUUCGAGCCACCUGCCAUAAGAUGAGCCCAAGUGGGAUUAGGUAGUUGGUUAGGUAAAGGCUGACCAAGCCGACGAUCUCUAGCUGGUCUGAGAGGAUGACCAGCCACACUGGAACUGAGACACGGUCCAGACUCCUACGGGAGGCAGCAGUGGGGAAUAUUGCACAAUGGGGGGAACCCUGAUGCAGCCAUGCCGCGUGAAUGAAGAAGGCCUUCGGGUUGUAAAGUUCUUUCGGUGACGAGGAAGGUUGAUAGGUUAAUAGCCUAUCAAAUUGACGUUAAUCACAGAAGAAGCACCGGCUAACUCCGUGCCAGCAGCCGCGGUAAUACGGGGGGUGCGAGCGUUAAUCGGAAUAACUGGGCGUAAAGGGCACGCAGGCGGUGACUUAAGUGAGAUGUGAAAGCCCCGAGCUUAACUUGGGAAUUGCAUUUCAUACUGGGUCGCUGGAGUACUUUAGGGAGGGGUAGAAUUCCACGUGUAGCGGUGAAAUGCGUAGAGAUGUGGAGGAAUACCGAAGGCGAAGGCAGCCCCUUGGGAAUGUACUGACGCUCAUGUGCGAAAGCGUGGGGAGCAAACAGGAUUAGAUACCCUGGUAGUCCACGCUGUAAACGAUGUCGAUUUGGGGAUUGGGCUUUGAGCUUGGUGCCCGUAGCUAACGUGAUAAAUCGACCGCCUGGGGAGUACGGCCGCAAGGUUAAAACUCAAAUGAAUUGACGGGGGCCCGCACAAGCGG